AUGAGCGUUUUUAAAUUGCCCUUUCCUGUUUGUGAUGAUUUAACCAAGAGGAUACGACAAUAUUGGUGGGGAGUUGAGAAAGGAUGAAGAAAGAUGACUUGGGUUUCUUGGGACAAACUUGUCCUUCUAAAGUUAAAAAGAGGGCCUGGCUUUAGAGACAUGAGAGCCUUCAAUCAAGUACUUCUAUCUAAACAGGCAUGGAGAUUCAUAGACAGACCUGACGACCUAUAUGUUAGACUGCUUAAAGCAAGAUACUACCCCAAUGGGAAUCUUGUCGACACCGUAUGCACAUAUAAUGCUUCGCCAUUGUGGCGUAGAAUUGAACAUGGCUUGGAACUUCUGAAAAAAGGUUUUAUUUGUCGUGUUGGAAAUUGCAUGUCUAUCAGAGUUUGGAGGACCUGGAUUCCUAGGGGACCUUCAUUUCGUCCGAUCACGUUCAAACGGCAAUGCAGACUUAAUGGUUUCUAGGAUUUCCUGGAUAUUAAUAGAUCUUGGAGAGUGGACUUAUUGAACUUACACUUUCUUGCAGCGGAUGUGUUGGCUAUCUGUAAAAUUCACACAUCAGCUCGUCAGCAAGAGGAUUUUAUCGCUUGGCAGCCUCACUCGAAAGGCUGCUUCAACAUUCAUAGUGCCUAUAAACUAGCAAUGGAACAACAUGAAGAGGACUUCUUGGUGGGGGCUUGA
rnacentral:rRNA from 1 species